GAUGAACGCUAGCGGUAUGCUUAACACAUGCAAGUCGAACGAAAAAAUUUGAAAUAAUUAAAGAAAUUUAAAAAAAGUCUAUUUUUUAGUGGCGAACGGGUGAGUAAUGCGUGAGAAUUUGCCUUUAGGAGGAGGAUAACCAUUAGAAAUAAUAGCUAAUACUCCGUAAAGUCUUAUUGUUUAAGAUGAAAGAAUGAAUA
rnacentral:rRNA from 1 species